UACGGAGGAUGCGAGCGUUAUCCGGAUUUAUUGGGUUUAAAGGGUGCGUAGGCGGAUCGUUAAGUCAGUGGUCAAAUUGAGGGGCUCAACCCCUUCCCGCCAUUGAAACUGGCGUUCUUGAGUGGAAGAGAAGUAUGCGGAAUGCGUGGUGUAGCGGUGAAAUGCAUAGAUAUCACACAGAACACCGAUUGCGAAGGCAUCUCACGAAUCCGCGAUUGACGCUGAUGCACGAAAGCGUGGGUAUCAAACAGG
rnacentral:rRNA from 1 species